rnacentral:misc_RNA from 1 species
GAGGAAACACAAAGAAUAACACAUCCAAUCCAUGUUCUACAAUGCUGUAGCCCCGCUACCUCCAAGCCUCAAGCAGAGAAUCAAUUUGAGAGCUCUUUAACUUAGGACUCAAACAAAUGCUUUGACAACUCCCUAAUCAUUCAUCAUUAUGUAUCAUUUUUACUCCAAAACUAGCAGUCAUAGCAGCUUCAAGUACCACAGUUACCACCAUCACAAUCCCAGAAUAUCGUAUCUGCACCAUCUAGCAAAAUGUGUACACUAGAGCUGCCCGAAUCAGUAUUAUACACGCAUCAUAGAAAGUAAUCGGGCGUUCUACGUGUCACAUCAGGUUCUCCCCUCCUCGGUGCUGGUUCAAACUGGAUAAAUGUGUGUCCCUUGCUGUCAUCAACUUCCAGUAUGGACGCCAUAUUCCCACAGCGAUAGCAAUAAUUUGGUGCACUAAAUAUAGUGACAACUUUUUGUUCAUGUCCCCAGUUAUAUCCCUCCAUGACUAGCUGAUGGGCUCUUGCUAUCAGCUUAAGGCUGUUAGUGUGGUUGAAUUGUUCGGAGAUAUCUUGGCCAAAGGUAUAUCCAGCACCACGAGGGGAUAUUCCCCACCCACACCGGUCAUCUGGGUCAGACCACAAGAGGUCACACAUUGGCCCCUCGUGAGGAACUUCUUGGACACGAUCAAAAUUACGAAUGUUAUCGAGGGUCUCAAUCGACGGGGAUAAACCACCAUGUAGGCAAAAUAUCUCUGAUUCAACCAAAGCAGUCAAUGGAAAGUAGUCAAAAAGGUCUGUAAAGAUCUUCCAU